GACGAACGCUGGCGGCGUGCCUAAUACAUGCAAGUAGGACGCAGUUGCGAACGGGUGAGUAACGCGUAGGUAACUACCUAUUAGAGGGGGAUAACUAUUGGAAACGAUAGCUAAUACCGCAUACUAGUAGAUGGACCUGCGUUGUAUUAGCUAGUAGGUAGGGUAAUGGCCUACCUAGGCAACGAUACAUAGACGAACUGGGAGUGGGAUCGGCCACACUGGGAAUGAGACACGGCCCAGAAUUCUACGGGAGGGCGCAGUAGGGAAUCUUCGGCAAUGGGGGGAAACCUGACCGAGCAACGCCGCGUGAGUGAAGGAGGUGUUCGGAUCGUAAAGCUCUGUUGUUAAGGAAGCGGUACUUAACCAGAAAGGGACGGCUAACUACGUGCCAGCAGCCGCGGUAAUUC
rnacentral:rRNA from 1 species